rnacentral:misc_RNA from 1 species
UUUCCGUAGGUGAACCUGCGGAAGGAUCAUUCAUAAUAAAGUGUUUUAUGGCAUUUUUUAAAAAUCCAUAUCCACCUUGUGUGCAAUGUUAGAUCUCGUCAAUCUUGGCGAGAUUUUUAUACAUCAACUCAUUCUUUAACUAAUUUGUCUGAAAAAUAUUAUGAAUACUUAAUUCAAAAUACAACUUUCAACAACGGAUCUCUUGGUUCUG